UCUGGGAGGCAACCCAAUUUUAGCUUCUACUUUUUGAUAUCUUUUAUAUUUUAUUUAGGUUAAUCGAGUCUUGCUUCAUAUCUUUUGUAAGAAUUUGAAGACAAUAUUGGCCAAGUUGGGGGGAGAAUCAAUUUUGAAAAGACUUCUGGAUCAGGUGGCAUCUCUCCUUUUUCUUUCUCUUUGUAUGCACCUUUCAUUUUUCCUUACUCUAUUGAGGAUAAUGUCAAUUAAGUUGGGAGGA
rnacentral:lncRNA from 1 species